rnacentral:lncRNA from 1 species
UAGUCCUAUAUAGAAAUUAGGUAUAAUUUAUCUCUGGAGGAAAGUAAGAAAAUCAGAGAGGGGCAGAAGGAUUGCGAAGAAGAUCGUAAAGUGGGCCUUCAGAUUGGAAGGGUUCGGAGGCAAUAAGAAAAGGAAAGGCAUUGGAGAAGUAGUUGCUUGACUUCGGUUCUUCGGUGGAGCAAGUGUACCAUCGACUUCGACUCGCCCUCAGCUCUAGCCAGUCUCCAGCACAUCAGAGUUCAGGGUGAGCUAUUAUUUCUAGCUCGUGUUGGAUUCUCUCGGUCAUAACAUGAUGUCCUAUGCUUUCGGACACAUACCAUUUUAUUCUUUAUUUUAGUGUAUUCGAUAUUCUUAGGCUUAGUAUUGGAGAUUAGAUGUCCUUGAUGUGAUGACUAUCAGAUUUUGGGAUGAUAAGUAUUAAACCUUAGAAACUUAUUUAAAUUGGUUGCUUAGUAUCUUUUGGAGCUUCCGCAUUAUUGAUAUUAUUUAUAGUUGAACUAUUGGUAUAUGUUGGGGUUUUAGAUGUGUUGGUUGUCACUCACGACUCGUUUUGGGUCGUGACAUUGAUAUCGCUCUGUAGUAGUAUUUGUUUUGUUGGGAUGUCAAAAAUGAGACCAAUUACGAGUAAUCUGUCAAAUACGUUUAGAAUUUUAAAAAUUAAAUUCAAGAUAAUUUGAAUUUGGUAUAAGUUUAACUCAUUCAAGACUUAACUAAUUUUAAGAGAAUGUUCAAUUAAACCUAAUUUAAUUUUAAAUUUUAACUCGUUUUAAGAUUUUUUAAUGUAUGUGCUAAUAUUGAAGAUAUAAAUUGCUAUCUAUUUUAUAUCUCCUAGGAUUUAUCUAUCAUUUGUAACUUCUUCUUUUUUUUUAAAGAAAAUCUUGAGUUGAAAUUUAAAACUUAAAUAACUAUAUAUUAAAUUUAUUGAAAUUAAACAUGUCAAAUUGAGCGGGUCAAGACCUAGCCCAUUUUAAAGUCCAUUUGAGUGAAAGAAAACUUGGCUAAGUUAGGACCCAACCUAAUUUCUACUUCAGCCCAUUUUAACAUUAUCAAUUCCAACUCAACCCGUUCACUUGACACCUCUAAGCAAUAUGUGUUUGUG